UACGUAGGGGGCGAGCGUUGUCCGGAUUUAUUGGGUUUAAAGGGUGCGUAGGCGGUCUUUUAAGUCAGUGCUGAAAUAUCCCGGCUUAACCGGGAGGGUGGCAUUGAUACUGAAGGACUUGAGUUCAGUCGAGGUAGGCGGAAUUGACGGUGUAGCGGUGAAAUGCUUAGAUAUCGUCAAGAACACCGAUAGUGUAGACAGCUUACUAGGCUGAAACUGACGCUGAGGCACGAAAGUGUGGGGAUCAAACAGG
rnacentral:rRNA from 1 species